rnacentral:rRNA from 1 species
GAUGAACGCUGGCGGCGUGCCUAAUACAUGCAAGUCGAGCGAACAGACGAGGAGCUUGCUCCUCUGAUGUUAGCGGCGGACGGGUGAGUAACACGUGGAUAACCUCCCUAUAAGACUGGGAUAACUUCGGGAAACCGGAGCUAAUACCGGAUAACAUGUUGAACCGCAUGGUUCAACAGUGAAAGACGGUCUUGCUGUCACUUAUCGAUGGAUCCGCGCCGCAUUAGCUAGUUGGUAAGGUAACGGCUUACCAAGGCAACGAUGCGUAGCCGACCUGAGAGGGUGAUCGGCCACACUGGAACUGAGACACGGUCCAGACUCCUACGGGAGGCAGCAGUAGGGAAUCUUCCGCAAAGGGCGAAAGCCUGACGGAGCAACGCCGCGUGAGUGAAGAAGGUCUUCGGAUCGUAAAACUCUGUUAUUAGGGAAGAACAAAUGUGUAAGUAACUAUGCACGUCUUGACGGUACCUAAUCAGAAAGCCACGGCUAACUACGUG